CCCUUAGAUGUUCUGGGCCGCACGCGCGCUACACUGAACAGUUCAACAAGUCUUAACCUUGGCCGAUAGGUCUGGGUAAUCUUUGAACGCUGUUCGUGAUUGGGAUAGACCUUUGCAAUUAUGGGUCUUCAACGAGGAAUUCCUAGUAAACGCAAGUCAUCAGCUUGCAUUGAUUACGUCCCUGCCCUUUGUACACACCGCCCGUCGCACCUACCGAUUGAAUGGUCCGGUGAAAUCUCGGGACGGCGGCUUGGUCGCUUGCGUCCGACUGCUGAAACUUGAUUAAACCAUAUCAUCUAGAGGAAGGUGAAGUCGUAACA
rnacentral:rRNA from 1 species